CGCGGAUGAACGGACAAGUGGAAGUGACGAACAUAAUAAAACAGAGGAAGAUAUUCAAUAUCAAAAAUGGGCAACUCAAUGGGCCGUUAAAUGAAACAUUUUCGGGCCCAUAUCUAUAUACCAUUCCCCUUCCCCAAGCAAGCCAUUUUAAUACCCUUUCGCUCCCCCACCCUCCCUCUCCCUCUCUUCCCCCACAUCACACACCCGACUUAGCGACCUUGAAGCAUAGUUGGUCGGUAUGGCGACGCCGAUGGUGGAGGACAACUUCGAGGACGACCAGCUCUCCUCCAUGACCACCGAGGACAUUACUCGCGCCUCUCGUCUUCUUGAUAACGAAAUCCGUAUUCUCAAGGAAGAGUUACAGAGGACGAAUCUGGAGUUGGAUUCGUUCCGCGAGAAGAUAAAAGAGAAUCAGGAAAAAAUCAAGCUGAAUAAGCAGCUUCCUUACUUGGUCGGAAACAUUGUAGAGAUAUUGGAAAUGAACCCAGAGGAAGAAGCUGAAGAAGACGGUGCAAAUAUUGAUCUUGACUCACAAAGGAAGGGAAAAUGUGUUGUGUUAAAAACAUCUACACGCCAGACAAUUUUCCUUCCUGUAGUCGGUUUGGUCGAUCCUGAUACGUUGAAGCCUGGAGAUCUUGUUGGAGUAAACAAAGACAGUUAUCUCAUAUUGGACACUUUGCCGUCUGAGUAUGACUCUCGUGUUAAGGCUAUGGAGGUUGAUGAGAAACCAACUGAGGAUUACAAUGAUAUUGGUGGCUUAGAGAAACAGAUUCAGGAGUUGGUUGAGGCAAUUGUGUUGCCAAUGACACACAAAGAGAGAUUUCAGAAAUUAGGAGUUCGUCCACCAAAAGGAGUCCUUCUAUACGGUCCCCCUGGAACAGGGAAAACCCUGAUGGCCCGUGCAUGUGCAGCCCAAACUAAUGCUACUUUUCUGAAGCUAGCAGGUCCCCAACUCGUUCAGAUGUUUAUUGGAGAUGGAGCAAAGCUUGUCCGUGAUGCUUUCCAACUUGCUAAAGAAAAAUCCCCUUGCAUCAUUUUUAUCGAUGAGAUAGAUGCAAUUGGCACAAAACGUUUUGAUAGUGAAGUUAGUGGCGACAGAGAAGUUCAAAGAACUAUGUUGGAAUUGCUCAACCAACUUGAUGGUUUUAGCAGCGAUGAUCGGAUAAAGGUAAUAGCAGCAACCAAUCGAGCUGAUAUUUUAGAUCCUGCCUUAAUGCGGUCCGGUCGAUUGGAUCGUAAAAUUGAAUUUCCUCACCCUACCGAGGAAGCAAGGGCUCGCAUUUUGCAGGUAUAUCUUCUACUCCCUCCGUCCUUGAAACAACUUGCUCAAAGUAAUGGACGUAGAUUUUAAGAAAACUUAGUAUCUAUUUGGUGAGUAGAGAAGGGGCCCCAUAAUUUAGAAAAAGUGGUGAGCUUAGAGGGUGUUUGACUUAGCUUAUUUUAAAGAGCUUAUAAGCUCUUGUAACUUAUAAGAUGUUUCGAGAGCUUAUAAGAUGUAGUUUUUUAACAGCUUAUAAGUUGUCAAAGUGUUUUGAUAAUUGAGCUUAUAAGCCAUAGAGAGAAUUUUUAAUUAUAGAGAGAAAAUCUUUGUUAGAGAGAAUAAAAAAGAAAUAAAAUUAGAAUGAUAUAUGAUGAAAAUAAAAAGUCAUAGUUGAGUUAUUUUUAUAAAAUAAGUGUUGCUUAUAAGACAAUGAGAAAAUAAGUUGGGGUUAGAUGAACUUAUUUUUGGGGGAGCUUAUAAGCUCUUAGAGCUUAUUUUUACAGCUUAUAAACUCUUUAGGAAUUUAUUCAACCAAACACUUUGAAGGAGUUUAUAAGCUCAGCCAAACACCCUCUUAGUGGGUUUAUGUGGGUCUAUUAGUGGCAAUAUGUGUAAACAUGUUGGAAUUUUAAGGGUGGUAAUUUGUGAGAUUAUGUCAAAAAAAAAGGAGUAGGAAGAUAAUUUGUGGACGGUCGACGGAAAAGGAAAAUUAGGAAGAUAUUUUGUGGAUGGAGGGGGUAU